AGGAACAUCCUAUUUGCACGAUUUCUGUAUAUGCACUGUCAACAGUGUUGCCAGCCCGUUCAUUCUUCAUGAACUGGUCUUGGAAGCAGCUCAUUAUCUUUCUGUUUCUGGUUCAGCCCCUGUAGCCCAGGGCUUUAGAUCUCACCUGCUCACCCCCCUCAUUCAGAAGUGUCAGCAGAUGUUUAUAGCCUGUACUCACUUCAAGAUGUACCAUAUCACUCCUGCCGAGUACGAAGAGUUUGUCAGCAUCAUUUGUAAUGCGAGGUCAGCCUUCCAACUCACCCCAGGAGGGAUGGCCCAGUUUACAGAACUGUUACAGAGUCUACGACGCUCGAAAUCCUGCAAAAAAGAACUCUGGCAGAAAAUUUCAAGUGUUCUUUCUACCAUAACUAUUUGAUGAUGGAGUACAAUAGCACCAAGACUGUAUGGUUUAGGUUUUUUUUUCUUGUUUUUUUUUUAGAUAACAUGCAUUCAUUUCUCCACACCAUGAAGUGUAUUGCUUUCAGGGUCCAGUAUCUGGCUCUCCAGUUGUUUUGAAAGUCAUAGAAUUGUUAUAUCAUCAUCUAGCACCAGAGUGGGACACGGUGGCUGUCCAUCUCUAUGUAUCAGCUCAGGCACUUUACGAUCAUCAACAAAUGCUCAAAUUUAUUAGAAAGAAAAAAAAAAGAUUUUAACUGUUUAUAAUAAGUUGUUCUAGUUUCUAACUUUACACCCUCAGUGUUAUUGUGGAGUAUACGUUUUACCUGUGGUUGGAACUUUCUCGUUAUCCGUAGCGGUUCUGAGUUACAAGUUCCUCCAAAUUUAUACCCUAAGUCCAGAAAUCAUUGUGUUGUUGUGUAACCAAGCGGUUACUUUAGAAAACCCCAUCCAGAAGAAUUCUGGUACAGAACAGUGUAUCUUUAAAAUAUGUUGGUUGUACUUAUGUUUGUUCUCAGGGUGAUUUUAUUCAGAGGUAAUAUUUGAUUACUUUUAACAAGUAGUUUGGCUUAGUUCUUGUUGUCAUUGCUUUCUUGUUUACUAAUAUAUAUAUAUAUACAUCUAAAUAUCAGGGUGAUUGUUCAAAUUGUUUAAUUAAAUGUUUGAUUUACGGUAUUAGUUUAGUUGUUCUUUAUAUCAGUAUGCUAGUGUCAGAGAUAAAGGAGGUUAAGAUGUAAAAUUUAGAUAAAUGAGAACCUGUGUGUAUCGUAAAACAGGGGACUACUAAUGUUGCUUUAAUGUGAUGCAUAACAAAAUAAUACUGUUUAACUUUGACCAUAAGAUUUAUUGCUUUUCUUGUACAAUUCUCUGUUUUCGUGAAAUAUAUUGGAAUAAAAAAAAGAGAUCUGGGUGAACAUGUACAAUAUAGUUUCUUUAGUAGAAGUAUGACAAUAGUCCCGUUACCCAAACAUUUCUGUAAGUAACAUACUUCAAUGUGUAUCUGUUAGUAACUAUUUUGCAACAGCUACAUUUUAAACCACUGUGAUUGAUGUUUGAUGAAAAAUAAUUCUGUUUGUACAUCCUCUUCAUAUGAUGUUUUACCACAGUAAUAUGCACUUUGAUUUGUCUCUCUUACCCCGCAUGUAGGUGAAGAUAACUGUGUUUAGUCUUGUACGUUAAAAAGACGACAAUAUCAGUGUUUCUCAGUCUGUGGUCAGAGAAGUACAUCACCCCUUAUGUCGCCUUACCUAUCUCAGCCAGCCAAAGCAUGUAAGAUACAAUAUAUUUUUAACCAGUCAUUUAUCAUAAUUUGUCUUUUAACAGGUUUUUUAUCCUUGUAGUCGGGGUUUUUGUCUGUCUGGAGCACGUAGAGAAACCAUACUUUUCUAUCAUAAGAGAAAAAAAAGUUUUUGUAAUUAUUAUCUUGGUGUCAAUCUACUUAAAAUAAUCCGUGUUGAAUUUUUCAGAUAAUUUUAAGAUAUUUUGGAUGGAAUACCAUCAUACAGAAUUAACUUUUAUCGUGUGUAUUUCAAAGAAUGUUUUUAAUUUUAUCGCUCACACUUAAUUAAGCAAACUCAACAAACAUUUAUAGGUAACAAAACAGUUCGUUUAAACCCACCUGUGAAAAGUACCUCUUGUCAUCUGAAGAAUAUAUUUUUAUUAACUGCUGAGAUCUAAGAAACAUAUAUAAAAAAACAUUUUUCUCGUUCAUUGUUGAAACCCAACGAACUUAUAAAGAAACUCCUCUAUCAUGCAUUGUUGAUAUCAAACAAAUUUAUACAAAAAUACCAUUUUCAUUCAUUGUUGAAACCCCACAAACAUAUUAAAAAAAAACAACUUUUUUUUUCAUUCAUUGUUGUUGUCUAGAACGUUUAUACAAAAACUUUCAUUUUUGUUCAUUGUUAAAACCCAGCAAACUUAUAAUAAAACAUCUUCAAUCAUUGUUGGAACCCAACAAACUUGUAUAGAAAACCUUCCCGUUCAUUGUUGGAACCCCAAAAACUUAUAUAGAAAACCAUUGUUGAAACCCAACAAACUUAUAAAAAAAAAAAACCUCUUCAAUCAUUGUUGAAACCUAACAAACUUGUACAAAAGGCUCCUUUCUCAUGUGUUGUGGAAACCAAACAAAUUUAUGUAAAAAAAAAAACAUUCUUAUUUAUGGUAACCUUCCUCCAAAAAAAUAGUAUAAACCGUAUGGUAAAUAUUUAGCUACUUUGUUGUUGUUGUUACUGUCAAGUGGUGUGAGAGUAAGCCAGAACUGGGUCUCGUGUAUUUUCCCAAGUGCAGAAUAUCGUAUGACUGUUAAUACUGAACACAUUAAAAAAUUUAUAUUCUUGUUUUUUGUAGAGAACAAGUACAUAUCCAUAUUGUUAAUUAUCGAUACUUGAGUUUUUCUAUUAAGUUAUGUGCAUAAUGAAGGUUUGUAAAUGACAAGUUCAUAUAAUGGAAGUUAUAAUGUUUAGUUCAUUCCACAAGUGGUGAUAAAACAUAAUUGAGUUGACAGCCUGUUCCUCACCUGUGUCAGUUUAAGAAUAUAAAAUUCUUAUCAUGUUGUGACUUAAUGAUUUUUUCUGAUUAUGUGUGGAUUAAUAUUGUUUCUUCUGAAGUUCAACAUUUAACAAGGGCUUAUAUAUCCUAAAUAACAAUUUAUACCUAUUUUUAUUGGCUUAUUUGUUUCAUGGUUGCCUUCAACAAUUGUACAGGUGUUUCCAAAAAUGCAACUACUGUGUUUUGAAAAUGCUCAUUUAUAGUUUCACUAAAAUGUAACUGUUUUUGAUUUUUUUUAUAGUUAACAGAAUAUUUUGGAUUGAGAAAAUAUAAGUACUUCUUUUUCAGUUUAUCAAAUUUUGUUAUCAGUUUUAAAGUUAUUUAUAUUCGUAAAUCUGGUGUGUUUCAAGUAAAGACGAAGCAGUGUGUGAUGGGAGUAUACAAUAACAGCUAAGGUUCUUUUUUUGGAAAAUGUGGUACAUUUUUUGAGUAUUUAAUGUUUUCAUAGUUGUUGCUGUCUUAAUAAUAUAUCUAAAACCAUUUUUUAAUACAUAAUUUCUGUUUUGUGUUUUAUUGCUAAUACAAAUUAUUUCCUGUGAAAAUCUUUGGUUUUAAUUGAACUUCAGUUUCAUCACUGUACUCCUAAUGGAAAUUAGAAGCAGGAUGUGAUUUCUUCUUGUCACAUAAGUUAAACUUUUAACUAAAGAAUGGUAGCGUAGAUAUUGGUAAUGGUCGUAUUUAAAUAGAUGACAUUUCUAGAUGUCUAUAUUUAUUGAUAAGAUAAAUAAAAAUCUUGCCUGUUUUGUUUUACUCAUUCUUAAGUGCCGUAUUAUUGUUGAUUGUUAGUUACACACUCUUACUGUACCUGUACUUUUAAGACAUUCUGUUCUAAACAUUACAGUAAAGUAGUGUACAAGGGCUUCAAUUAAACAAAUCGUAUGCUCCCAAAUAUUCAUUUGAAGUUUCUGUUACAGUAUAAAGUUAACUUAAUGUGGCAAUAAAGUAAACCAUUACGGUCUAGAAGCUAUCAUGUAUGUUUGUAUUUUCAUGAGAUAGGUUGUAGUGAUACCUCAUCAACUGAAACUAAUUUUAUUCUGAGUGACUGUUUAAUCUGAUGACCUUGUCUAACUUCACUUUGAUAGAUUAAAACUUCCAAAAAUAUAUGAAGUCUACUAUAAACUGAAGAUAAUGAUUUAAUUUUUAAAAAAAUGUUGUUUCUCUCAAUAUUUAUGUCUAAAUAAAGAUAAGGGUUUUUACAGAGCUAAACUAGGUGAUUUUAAUAUUCAUGAUCUCAACAAAAGGAGGGACUAAUGUAUCUUUAUUUUGCUGGUUUUCAGUAUGCUGUAUUAACAUUAAUAGUUUUGUCAGCAAACAACCUGUCCAUGAUAUUUUAGAAAAUGAAUAAUUUUAAAGUUUCAUCUGCACAUUAUUGUACAGUGACAUAUAAUAUGAUAUUUGGAUUAUAAGUUUUGAUUUUGUGUAUUUUAUUUUUUAGCUGAUCCCCUGUUUUUUGAGGCCAAACAGAUUUGUUGUGAGAUUUUAAAUAUGUACAGUUUUUCUGGUUAUUAUACAUAAAACAGUCUGGAAACUCUACCAAAGUUCAAUAAUUCCAAUUAAAACUGACCUUAGCACUCGAUAUAUUAGUGAGACAAACAUUGUGAAACGUGCGUAUUUAUGGUUAUUGUAGUUGAAUUUAUGUGUUGUCUCCUAUAACGUUUAAUUCGAUUUAUACGUGAAUCUAUUUCUUUCAUCAAUAAAGUAUAAUUGAAAAAUGACAA